AUGGUUGAACACCAUUCGCUUAUUUUAUCAACAUAUCAACCGGCGCCCCCGGUCUCGGCUCCCGCCGCGCUGCCUGCCAGCUCCGCUGCGGAGAACAAGACAAAGCCCCGCGGGGACAGCAGGCGGGCUUGGGGCUGGAGCAGCUGCUGGGGACACGGGACCCUUGGCGGCGCGGGCCGGGGAGCCAGCUGAGCGGCGUGGGUGUCGGCGGGUGGCGCAGCACCCCCAGAGGGGGCCAUGUCUAACGGGGUUUAGGUACUGCCCAGCGCGGCCAACGGAGAUGUGAAGCUAGUGGUGUCCAGCAUGCCUUUGGUGGACUUCUUGAUGCAGCUGGAGGAUUACACGCCUAUGAUCCCAGAACGCCUACAAUCCCAGAUGCAGUGACUGGUUACUACCUGAACCGUGCUGGCUUUGAGGCCUCAGACCCACGCAUAAUUCGGCUCAUCUCCCUAGCUGCCCAGAAAUUCAUCUCAGAUAUUGCCAAUGAUGCCCUACAGCACUGCAAAAUGAAGGGCACAGCCACUGGCAGCUCCCGGAGCAAGAGCAAGGACUGCAAGUAUACUUUAACCAUGGAGGACUUGACCCCUGCCCUCAGCGAGUAUGGCAUCAAUGUGAAGAAGCUGCACUGCUUCACCUGAGCCACCCAACCUAAAUGUACUUGUCUGUCUCCAUGUCCCCACACCAGCCUGUUUUCAUAAUAAACUUUAUUGUGACAAAAAAAAAAAGA